rnacentral:tRNA from 1 species
GGGCCUGUAGCUCAGUCAAACCUUUGUUUGGAGCAACUUGGUAGAGCGACGGACUUUUAAUCCGCAGGUCGCGAGUUCAAAUCUCGCCAGGCCCG